rnacentral:rRNA from 1 species
UACGUAGGGUGCAAGCGUUGUCCGGAAUUAUUGGGCGUAAAGAGCUUGUAGGCGGUUUGUCGCGUCUGCUGUGAAAUUUCGGGGCUCAACCCCGAACUUGCAGUGGGUACGGGCAGACUAGAGUGUAGUAGGGGAGACUGGAAUUCCUGGUGUAGCGGUGAAAUGCGCAGAUAUCAGGAGGAACACCGAUGGCGAAGGCAGGUCUCUGGGCCAUAACUGACGCUGAGGAGCGAAAGCGUGGGGAGCGAACAGG